GGGCAUGUGGCGGAACGGUAGACGCUACGGCCUUAGGAGCCGUUGGGGAAACCCGUGGGGGUUCGAAUCCCUCCAUGCCCA
rnacentral:tRNA from 1 species